rnacentral:siRNA from 1 species
AGAGAAGAGAAACUUGCCUUGUUA